rnacentral:lncRNA from 1 species
GCCGUGAGGGGCCGUGAGGAGCCGUGCGGGACGGCUGCUCCGGCCGGGCCUCCCGCUCGGCUGUGCUCCACCCCCGCGCAGCCCCGGCACAAGGGCGCCGGCCAGCAUCCCCCCGCAUCUCUUCAGCUCUGGCAGAGCCGCGUGUCUUGCCACUGUCUAAACCCGGAAUAUGCGGCCGUCCCGCCUUCUCCCUCGGUCUCCUUCUUACGAAUGUGCGCAGCAAAAAGCCCGUCUCCCGGGACUCUUCCCCCUUUUUGGUCUUUGCUGGGACAUCCAGCCGUGGGGGGACGCUUUCCCCGGCUCUGCGGCCAAAGGCAGGCGGCCACCCGGCAGCCCGAACUCCUUGAGCGCUGCUGAGAGGGGCCUGGUGUCCUCAGCCAGUCAGCGGAGUGUGGAACCUGUGAAACCUCGAUCACCUCCAAACCGUGGGUCGGGAAUGUUGUCCCAGAAGCACAGCCCCCAAGCACAACUCAAGUGCAGAGUGUACAUGGAAAGGAGGGGGGCUAGGGCAAGCUGA